rnacentral:lncRNA from 1 species
AGGGGAUGGGUGUUUAGAUAAGAUAUCCCCAACUUAGCCAAAAAGAAGAUUCUCUUAAGAGUUGAAAGACUUUUCUGUUGAGAGCCAUGGGAGUGUGAAGUAGAGAAAUUCUAGGCAGGAGGCAAGGCUGAGGAAGCAAACACGAAGAAUCAACCACAUACCCCUAAGUGGUCUGUUUAAGAGCUCCCUGCAUCAUGAUCAUAGCUGCAUUUCCAGAUUGGUGUCCAGUUUUAUUCAAAUCCGAUAACACUCCUACCUGGGAAGUCAAGAAAGAAUAACUCACAGCAGGUGGUAAGAAAUGCAGUUAAUAAAGGUUGUGACUUCAAUAAACA